rnacentral:tRNA from 1 species
GGCGAGGUAGCUCAGGGGUCAGAGCGAAGGAUUCAUAACCCUUAGGUCGCGGGUUCAAUUCCCGCCCUCGCUACCA